rnacentral:rRNA from 1 species
CUACGGGCGGCAGCAGUGGGGAAUAUUGCACAAUGGGCGCAAGCCUGAUGCAGCCAUGCCGCGUGUAUGAAGAAGGCCUUCGGGUUGUAAAGUACUUUCAGCGGGGAGGAAGGGAGUAAAGUUAAUACCUUUGCUCAUUGACGUUACCCGCAGAAGAAGCACCGGCUAACUCCGUGCCAGCAGCCGCGGUAAUACGGAGGGUGCAAGCGUUAAUCGGAAUUACUGGGCGUAAAGCGCACGCAGGCGGUUUGUUAAGUCAGAUGUGAAAUCCCCGGGCUCAACCUGGGAACUGCAUCUGAGAGUGGCAAGCUUGAGUCUCGUAGAGGGGGGUAGAAUUCCAGGUGUAGCGGUGAAAUGCGUAGAGAUCUGGAGGAAUACCGGUGGCGAAGGCGGCCCCCUGGACGAAGACUGACGCUCAGGUGCGAAAGCGUGGGGAGCAAACAGGAUUAGAUACCCCGGUAGUC